rnacentral:tRNA from 1 species
GCUCGCUUAGAGAAGCGGUGAACUCGCCACAUUCACGCUGUGGAGAUCGCCGGUUCGAACCCGGCAGUGAGCA